CGUACACUCCUGCGGGAGGCAGCAGUGGGGAAUAUUGGACAAUGGGCGCAAGCCUGAUCCAGCCAUGCCGCGUGAGUGAUGAAGGCCCUAGGGUUGUAAAGCUCUUUCACCGGUGAAGAUAAUGACGGUAACCGGAGAAGAAGCCCCGGCUAACUUCGUGCCAGCAGCCGCGGUAAUACGAAGGGGGCUAGCGUUGUUCGGAUUUACUGGGCGUAAAGCGCACGUAGGCGGACUAUUAAGUCAGGGGUGAAAUCCCGGGGCUCAACCCCGGAACUGCCUUUGAUACUGGUAGUCUUGAGUUCGAGAGAGGUGAGUGGAAUUCCGAGUGUAGAGGUGAAAUUCGUAGAUAUUCGGAGGAACACCAGUGGCGAAGGCGGCUCACUGGCUCGAUACUGACGCUGAGGUGCGAAAGCGUGGGGAGCAAACAGGAUUAGAUACCCUAGUAGUCCC
rnacentral:rRNA from 1 species